rnacentral:rRNA from 1 species
GACGAACGCUGGCGGCGUGCUUAACACAUGCAAGUCGAACGGAAAGGCCCUGCUUUUGUGGGGUGCUCGAGUGGCGAACGGGUGGGUAACACGUGAGUAACCUGCCCUUGACUUUGGGAUAACUUCAGGAAACUGGGGCUAAUACCGGCUAGGAGCUCCUGCUGCAUGGUGGGGGUUGGAAAGUUUCGGCGGUUGGGGAUGGACUCGCGGCUUAUCAGCUUGUUGGUGGGGUAGUGGCUUACCAAGGCUUUGACGGGUAGCCGGCCUGAGAGGGUGACCGGCCACAUUGGGACUGAGAUACGGCCCAGACUCCUACGGGAGGCAGCAGUGGGGAAUAUUGCACAAUGGGCGGAAGCCUGAUGCAGCAACGCCGCGUGCGGGAUGACGGCCUUCGGGUUGUAAACCGCUUUCGCCUGUGACGAAGCGUGAGUGACGGUAAUGGGUAAAGAAGCACCGGCUAACUACGUG